UAGUAUGUGCACAUACCUUAGCACUAUUAUUGGUAUUAGUAUUAACCUCCAAGGUAAACCACAGUACAAAAAUUGUUUAGUUAUGAAUGUGUUAGCCUAAGGUACAUCCAUGCUUCUUAUUUAGUUUUUUUUUUUUUUAUUUAUUUAUUUUUUUGCUCCGAUUGUUUACUUAACAGAUUUGCUUGGUUUCAGCAGCUGGUUGCACCCCUUACCCCCCCUCCCCCCACCCUCCCGCAUACACACCCUAAAGCAGAAACCUAACCUGUCCACCAACACAGCAACAUCACACACAUUUUGGAUUAGCUAAAUAAACCAUUAAAUAAACCAUAAAUCAGGAAGAGUAUAUAUAUUCUAUAUAUACUCUUCUUGUUAAAGCAAAGCUGUCCAUCACAAUGUGGCAUUCAGCGUAAUAUAUGCUGCUUGCUAAACUGCUGGACAGAACAAAAAAAAAAAAAAAAAAAAAGGUUUCAUUCAAAGUCCAAUGCACACAAAUUAUACCUGGCUACAGGUGAAUUAAAAGCCCAACUAGCUGUCAAGAUUGCGGUGUGAACGUAGAUGGUGGACCCACACGCAGCUCAGGAGACGUCCAGGUGAGUAACAGGAGCUUUAAUGUUCAGAAUAGUCAAGGCAGCGGCGAGGACACGUUAAGCGUGGAACGUAAAUCGUGGAGAAGCGCGACAGUGGCAGCUGCUGCAAUGCGACUUUGAGCAAUGAAAAAUCUUAUUUUAAAUCAAUUUUAAUCAGUGUUUCCAAGCCACGCGGAGCCGCAGUGUGUGGAUGAAAGAGCCUAAUGCGGCUCCGGAGCCGGGUUUCCGGACCCUGUGCUAAAUGAACCCCAUUCAAUCUGAGUUAAGGUGAUUUGAAUCAGUUUGAACAUGGACUGCUUCUCUUCAGGCUCAGUUUUAGCAAGUAACUGGACUUCAUUUGUAUAAAAUACAGUUUUAAAUAAAUGAGUAAUAACACUGAUAUUAACCUUGGAACAUUAUCAUGGUGCGUUCAGAUGAGUCACCAGAUGACUUACUAUGGUUUGGUUCUUUGUUUCAGACAGGGCCGAUCCCUGAAAACAUGGACGUGUUAGAGCAGAAUUAACAGCAGAGUUUAUAUUUUGGAUUUAUUUGUUACGAUCACGGGACAAACUACACUAGGACUACGUUCACCAUGAGCGGACAAACGGCCUACAAACAAACUUGGAGGGAGGACCCAAAUGCACGACCCACACACAGAACAUUAAAAGUUUAAUAAAGAAACACAUGCACACAAAGGGAAAUACAACUGAAGGCGCUGCAGAUGCAGGAUACAAAUAGAUCUAAACACAAAUCUAAAUAUAUAGUCAGAACGGAAAAUCAGUAACUGCAUUCGAUAAAUAAUCACACGCUAAUCACAUACUGGACACAGAACAGACGCACAAACAAACCUCCACAUAGGGAAGCACGGUGAACAUGGCAACGCAGAACGGGUAACAGGCAAUGGACCAACAACGGCUGUGCACAAACUGGGAUCUUAAAUACAAGACAGGUGAACCAGCUCAAAUUAAUUACAGGAAAUCACAAGACAGACCAUGAACACAAAGCCAUGUGGGCUUUAAUUUUGUUUUUACAAAAAAUAGCUUAUGUUAUUUGUUAAUACCUCUGAUUUUAUAUUGGUAUAAUCCUCGAUUUACUAUAAUGAGCUGAGCUGUAUGGUUGUUCCUUUGUAUUUGUUCUGUUUUUGUCACAUUAUUAAUUAGAUUACGUUACAUUAAAUUAAAUUUGAUGAAAUACAAUUUUAUUAAUCCCACAAUGGAGAAAUCCCUGUGUUUUCAGAAGCAGCAUGACAGUUUACAGGUAACACUGUAGGUAACACGCAUAUAACCCAUUAUAACAAACUGAAACUCUAAUCUAAUACUGUAGCAAUAGAGGAACGUCUUAUCUGAGCACUGUCUAGUUAGUGGUGAACUGAGGGUUAAAGCUGAAGCCUCAAACCGAAAGUGAAAGUGUUCCCGACAUACAUGCGUGCGCUCCUCUGCAGCCUGAAUCAGAAGAUCCCUGUGAGGCUGUGAUUUGUUCAGCACUACUACACAGACUGAAUGAUUUAAACCCUCUGAGGCGAAAAAUGUCCUGUGGGAAACUGAGAGAGUGCCUUACUGCUAAUACAGCUGCUUUUAUAGCUGUUAUUACAGCUGCUAUUACAGCUGCUAUUACAGCUGU